AGUGAACGCUGGCGGUAGGCCUAACACAUACAAGUCGAACGGCAACACAGUAAGAGCUUGCUCUUACGGGUGGCGAGUGGCGGAUGGGUGAGGAAUACAUCGGAAUCUACUUUUUCGUGGGGGAUAACGUAGGGAAACUUACGCUAAUACCGCAUACGACCUACGGGUGAAAGCAGGGGAUCUUCGGACCUUGCGCGAUUGAAUGAGCCGAUGUCGGAUUAGCUAGUUGGCGGGGUAAAGGCCCACCAAGGCGACGAUCCGUAGCUGGUCUGAGAGGAUGAUCAGCCACACUGGAACUGAGACACGGUCCAGACUCCUACGGGAGGCAGCAGUGGGGAAUAUUGGACAAUGGGCGCAAGCCUGAUCCAGCCAUACCGCGUGGGUGAAGAAGGCCUUCGGGUUGUAAAGCCCUUUUGUUGGGAAAGAAAAGCAGCAGGUUAAUACCCCGCUGUUCUGACGGUACCCAAAGAAUAAGCACCGGCUAACUUCGUG
rnacentral:rRNA from 1 species